AUUGAACGCUGGCGGCAUGCUUUACACAUGCAAGUCGAACGGUAACAGGCCGCGAGGUGCUGACGAGUGGUGAACGGGUGAGUAAUGCAUCGGAACGUGCCCAGUCGUGGGGGAUAACGCAGCGAAAGCUGUGCUAAUACCGCAUACGAUCUAUGGAUGAAAGCGGGGGACCGUAAGGCCUCGCGCGAUUGGAGCGGCCGAUGUCAGAUUAGGUAGUUGGUGGGGUAAAGGCCUACCAAGCCGACGAUCUGUAGCUGGUCUGAGAGGACGACCAGCCACACUGGGACUGAGACACGGCCCAGACUCCUACGGGAGGCAGAAGUGGGGAAUUUUGGACAAUGGGCGCAAGCCUGAUCCAGCAAUGCCGCGUGCAGGAAGAAGGCCUUCGGGUUGUAAACUGCUUUUGUACGGAACGAAACGGCCUGGGUUAAUACCCUGGGCUAAUGACGGUACCGUAAGAAUAAGCACCGGCUAACUACGUGCCAGCCGCCGCGGUAAUAC
rnacentral:rRNA from 1 species